UGGGGAAUAUUGCACAAUGGAGGGAACUCUGAUGCAGCAACGCCGCGUGCGGGAUGACGGCCUUCGGGUUGUAAACCGCUUUCAGCCAUGACGAAGCUUUUGUGACGGUAGUGGUAGAAGAAGCACCGGCUAACUACGUGCCAGCAGCCGCGGUGAUACGUAGGGUGCGAGCGUUGUCCGGAAUUAUUGGGCGUAAAGUGCUUGUAGGCGGUUUGUCGCGUCGAAAGUGUAAACUCAGUGCUUAACGCUGAGCCUGCUUUCGAUACGGGCUGACUAGAGGAGGGUAGGGGAGAAUGGAAUUCCCGGUGGAGCGGUGGAAUGCGCAGAUAUCGGGAGGAACACCAGUGGCGAAGGCGGUUCUCUGGACCUUUCCUGACGCUGAGAAGCGAAAGCGUGGGUAGCAAACAGG
rnacentral:rRNA from 1 species